rnacentral:rRNA from 1 species
GACGAACGCUGGCGGCGUGCCUAAUACAUGCAAGUCGAGUGGAGAUAAGGUGCUUGCACCUUAUCUUAGCGGCGGACGGGUGAGUAAUGCUUAGGAAUCUGCCAUUUAGUGGGGGACAACAUUCCGAAAGGAAUGCUAAUACCGCAUACGUCCUACGGGAGAAAGCAGGGGAUCUUCGGACCUUGCGCUAAAUGAUGAGCCUAAGUCGGAUUAGCUAGCUGGUGGGGUAAGGGCCUACCAAGGCGACGAUCUGUAGCGGGUCUGAGAGGAUGAUCCGCAACACUGGGACUGAAACACGGCCCAGACUCCUACGGGAGGCAGCAGUGGGGAAUGUUGGACAAUGGGCGGAAGCCUGAUCCAGCCAUGCCGCGUGUGUGAAGAAGGCCUUUUGGUUGUAAAGCACUUUAAGCGAGGAGGAGGCUACCUGGAUUAAUACUCUAGGAUAGUGGACGUUACUCGCAGAAUAAGCACCGGCUAACUCUGUGCCAGCCGCCGCCGUAAGAC